GCCAUUUUUCGUCUUCCAAAAUCAAAGAAAACCAAAAAUGAAGAAGCAGUGUUCAAAAAAGAGUAAAUCUGAGCAUUGCUAACACCCAAGAACCUUUCCCCCUUUUACAUUCUAACUUCCUUUUCUUGAUUUCUCGAUUGAAAACAAGACACACACAAAUACAAAAGAGAAGAAGGAGACAAGCAACAACCAUUUUCCGAUCCCCCCUCAGAUUUCGAUCAAUUGUCUUUCUCUUAAAAAUUAAAGAGCUACACACUCACAAUAGGAAAAAGAAGUUUCUAGCAAUCCCGAAAAUCUGGUAAAAAAAACAGUCCAAAAGAGCUCCAAAAGCCAUAAAAACCAGCUGAAAUCGUGUAAAAAAUGCUACUUCGUCGCACCUUGAAACAGUCCAAAUCUUCAGCUGAAAACGCAGCAGCAUAGCAUGGUAAAAUACCCAUAAACAGCUCCGGCUUUAGUCACUGCUAGCUUUCUCUCGGGUCGAGGUUUGGCGAGUAUCAUUGGAGGUUGCUGGUAUCGGUUGCAGUCCUUGUCCGCUCUCAUACAACCUUGUUGCUGUAAGUUUAUUCAAAGUGUUGAACUUUUUACUUCCCUUUUAAUUUGAGUACUCUACUUAUGAGAAUUUAAUUUGUUCCAUAUCUACACUAUUUGGUUAAAUUCCUCUUUCAUUCAAUUGUGACAAGUGAGUAGAAAUGACUAACUGUUCCAUUUUGUCCAUUGAAAAGUUAAGAAGAAGCCAUUUCCUUGAUCUGUUAAAUUCCUCUGAUUUUGUUUCUACUUUUGGGUUGUGAUCUUGCAUCUCUUUGUUUUUACUUUUGGAUAUUUCAUGCUGCAAGUCGUGGAAUAUUGUCUUGAAUUUCUGAAUUUGAUGGAAAGUUGAACUGAAUCUUAUCCAAAAAUUCGUAAAUAAGUUAAACUUCACAAUGAGGUUUAUUUUUCUCCAUUAUUCUAUUUAUUUGCUUAAUGUUUUUCUUAUGAAGUUCGUUGAUAUGUUGGAGUGGCCAUGGGCAUCAUUCCCAUGGCAUGGUUACAAUACGUGAAUCUUAAUUCGGGGGUGCAUUUCAUGUAACCCGAUUAUAACAACUUCGAAUAAUAAAACUCUUUGGAAUAAUUUGAGGCGUGCCAUGCCAAAUUAAAUGUCAAAACUCAUGUCCCUCACUUAAUUAAUUUUAACCCUUUAGAAAUCGAGGUGUGCCAUUAGUUGAACUUUCCAUGGCCCUCGCAAACUUGAAAGUGCGUAGUUGCUUUAGGUGCGCAAUUUAAAUUAAUUUUCUUAAACUCGGGUGUGCUUUUCAUAUGACCCAACUCCAAUUCUCAACAACGUUAAAUAAAAUGCGUCAUGGACUGCGGGUGCAUUUCAUGUGGCGUGGUUCAAGGCGUGUUUUAAAUAACGUUGAAUCUUCCUAAAAUUAAUUAAAAGCGGCUAAUAAGUUAAAAUGUAUCAUAGGCUAAAACAUGUAAUAAAAUCAAAUAAUAGGCCAAUUAUAAUAGUUUAAAGCGACCGUGCUAGAACCACGGAAUUCGGGGGUACCUAACACCUUCCCUCGGGUUAAUAGAAUUCCUUACUUAGAAUUUCUGGUUCCCAGACUUCAAAAGGAAAGCCGAAUUUCCUCGAUUUGGGAUUAAAAAAAUAAAUCGGUGACUCGGGACACCGGUUAAAAUAUUCCGAGUGGCGACUCUAAAAAUAAUUUAAUUAAUCCCAUUUCUAAUAAUGUCACUUUAUUGGAAAAACUCUCUUAUAUCCCUUCGGGGUGGUAAAAAGGAGGUGUGACAGUUGGCAUAUUUGGUUGAGGUCCCAGGGGCCUCGGGUAUGUUUCGUAUACUUAACGGAUUGAAAUUUGGACUUAGGCAAUUGCUGAGAUUUGCUGGUUUCUGGUGUUUUCGCACCUGCGGAGGGGAGACUGUUGGUGCGGACUCGUACGUGUGGAAGAUCAGGCGUAGAAGAGGAUUUGGAAGGAAUUGUUAGGGUAGCAGGUGCGAGGGAAAUACCGCAUCUGCGAUGCCCGUGGUUGCGCUCCAAGACCCGUAGAAGCGGCAGAAGACCGCAGAAGCAGACAUGGGCUCGUAGGUGCGCACGUGCAGGGACCAAUUGCUCAGAGAUGCAGACCCAGUCCCUUAAGUAAUUUACUCACCUACAAUGGAAAUUAUUCAGGUGCGAUGGUGCAGGUGUGAUGAAAAGUCCGCAGAUACGGAAUAUCUGGUUAGAAAAAGGUCUAGAUGCGAGGGUUUGAUUUCAUUCUCCAUUUUUGGACGUAGAGAGCUCGGAUUGAGGCAAAAUUUUGAGGGAUUUCCCAAGGAAGCUUGUGGUUAAUGAUUCCUUACUCGAUUUUGGUUACAUUUCAUUAAUCUAUUGUUGUUUUCUUCAUUUAAUCAAGGAAUUUGAGUGAGAAAGUUGGAAAAAUGGGGAAAAAGUUCCCCAAUCGAAUUUCUGGGUUUUGAGAGGCAUUUAGGCAUCGGAUUUAGAUAAUUUUUGUACGAGUGAACUUGUGAGUGAAUGAGUGUUCAUAACUUUUGACUUUUACCCGAUUCCGAGGUGUGGACCUGGGGAGACUUUUUGGGCAUUUUUCUAAUUCCUGCCUUAACUUUGAUUUCGUUAGCUAGAUUAGUUUCUUGUAGUUAUAUUUAUGUUAUGUAAUUGGUUUUGGCUAGAUUUGGGCAAUUCGGAGCCGGAUAUUCAUGGAAAGAGAAUUAUUACAGAUUGAUUUGAGCUUAGUUUGAGGUAAGUGGUUUGCCUAACCUUCUAUGGGGGAACUCCCCUUAGGAUUUGGUAUUGUUUGAUAUAUGAGCACCGUGAACGUGAGGUGAGGAGUACGUAAAUGGGCUAUUUGUUGUAAAACUCUGUUUUAUACUAAGUCAUAACAUGUUUCUCCUUGUUUGAACUACACUAGCAUAUGUAACUACCUUGUUUAGAUUAGAAAAGUAUGACUACGUGUUUUAACUAUCUAUUUGAACUCUGUGCAACAUGUUUAAUAAAAUUACCUAUUUUAUUUUACGUGAACUUAGUCUAAAUUGUAGGUUUCCUUGCUAUAACUAUUGUUUAUAUUGGUUGAGCUGCAUAUUUACUUUGGGACUACAGAACGGUAUUCCGGGAGAUCCCCUUGUACUGCAUAUUUACUUUGGAACUACAAAACGGUAUUUCGAGAGAUCCCCAUGUACUGCAUAUUUACUUUGGAACUACAGCAUUGUUUACAUGUCAUGAAUGUAUAUAGUAGUUAGAAGCUCUUAGAAGUUUGUGACAUUGCGACAUUCCGGAUUUUGGGAAAGAUGAUUAUUGUAAAUGCCGAGUGGCAGCGUUUCCGCUUAUUAAUUAUAUAUGUUAGCGGUUAUCUUUGUGUUUUCAUUUCAUUUUUGCAAUAUUAGGCUUACCUAGUCAUAGAGACUAGGUGCCAUCACAGCAACUCAUGGAGGGAUAAAAUUGGGUCAUGACAACUUGGUAUCAAAGCUCUAGGUUUAUAGGAGUCGUGAGUCACAAGUCGGUUUAUAAGAGUCUCGCGGAUUAGUACAGAUAUGUAUGUACUUAUCCUCGGGAGGCUAUCGAACUGUUAGAAACAAAUUUCCCUUCAUUUGAUUCCUUGUCGUACGAGAUUAUUGACCUCGAAAUUGUAAACUUUCAUCCUCUAUUCUUUCACAGAUGGUGAGGACACAUGCUACCGAAGAUGAAUAG
rnacentral:lncRNA from 1 species